GAUGAACGCUGGCGGCGUGCCUAAUACAUGCAAGUCGAGCGAACAGACAAGGAGCUUGCUCCUUUGACGUUAGCGGCGGACGGGUGAGUAACACGUGGGUAACCUACCUAUAAGACUGGGAUAACUUCGGGAAACCGGAGCUAAUACCGGAUAAUAUUUCGAACCGCAUGGUUCGAUAGUGAAAGAUGGUUUUGCUAUCACUUAUAGAUGGACCCGCGCCGUAUUAGCUAGUUGGUAAGGUAACGGCUCACCAAGGCGACGAUACGUAGCCGACCUGAGAGGGUGAUCGGCCACACUGGAACUGAGACACGGUCCAGACUCCUACGGGAGGCAGCAGUAGGGAAUCUUCCGCAAUGGGCGAAAGCCUGACGGAGCAACGCCGCGUGAGUGAUGAAGGUCUUCGGAUCGUAAAACUCUGUUAUUAGGGAAGAACAUACAUGUAAGUAACUAUGCACGUCUUGACGGUACCUAAUCAGAAAGCCACGGCUAACUACGUGCCAGCAGCCGCGGUAAUACGUAGGUGGCAAGCGUUAUCCGGAAUUAUUGGGCGUAAAGCGCGCGUAGGCGGUUUUUUAAGUCUGAUGUGAAAGCCCACGGCUCAACCGUGGAGGGUCAUUGGAAACUGGAAAACUUGAGUGCAGAAGAGGAAAGUGGAAUUCCAUGUGUAGCGGUGAAAUGCGCAGAGAUAUGGAGGAACACCAGUGGCGAAGGCGACUUUCUGGUCUGUAACUGACGCUGAUGUGCGAAAGCGUGGGGAUCAAACAGGAUUAGAUACCCUGGUAGUCCACGCCGUAAACGAUGAGUGCUAAGUGUUAGGGGGUUUCCGCCCCUUAGUGCUGCAGCUAACGCAUUAAGCACUCCGCCUGGGGAGUACGACCGCAAGGUUGAAACUCAAAGGAAUUGACGGGGACCCGCACAAGCGGUGGAGCAUGUGGUUUAAUUCGAAGCAACGCGAAGAACCUUACCAAAUCUUGACAUCCUUUGACAACUCUAGAGAUAGAGCCUUCCCCUUCGGGGGACAAAGUGACAGGUGGUGCAUGGUUGUCGUCAGCUCGUGUCGUGAGAUGUUGGGUUAAGUCCCGCAACGAGCGCAACCCUUAAGCUUAGUUGCCAUCAUUAAGUUGGGCACUCUAAGUUGACUGCCGGUGACAAACCGGAGGAAGGUGGGGAUGACGUCAAAUCAUCAUGCCCCUUAUGAUUUGGGCUACACACGUGCUACAAUGGACAAUACAAAGGGCAGCGAAACCGCGAGGUCAAGCAAAUCCCAUAAAGUUGUUCUCAGUUCGGAUUGUAGUCUGCAACUCGACUACAUGAAGCUGGAAUCGCUAGUAAUCGUAGAUCAGCAUGCUACGGUGAAUACGUUCCCGGGUCU
rnacentral:rRNA from 1 species